GGGCCGGUCGUCUAGCCUGGUCGGGACGCUGCCCUUACGAGGCAGAGGUCGCCGGUUCAAGUCCGGCCCGGCCCACCA
rnacentral:tRNA from 1 species